rnacentral:rRNA from 1 species
UACGAAGGGGGCUAGCGUUGCUCGGAAUCACUGGGCGUAAAGGGUGCGUAGGCGGCUUUCUAAGUCAGGGGUGAAAUCCUGGAGCUCAACUCCAGAACUGCCUUUGAUACUGGAGAGCUUGAGUCCGGGAGAGGUGAGUGGAACUCCGAGUGUAGAGGUGAAAUUCGUAGAUAUUCGGAAGAACACCAGUGGCGAAGGCGGCUCACUGGCCCGGUACUGACGCUGAGGUGCGAAAGCGUGGGGAGCAAACAGG